UCUCUUAUCGUACAAUGGAAGUACGCAUGGAAUCGUUAAAUAUCGCAAACAGGUCCUCCAUGAUACCUGGGUUCGAAUCCCGGUGAGAGAC